GACGAACGCUGGCGGCGUGCUUAACACAUGCAAGUCGAACGGUAAGGCGCUUUCGGGCGUACACGAGUGGCGAACGGGUGAGUAACACGUGAGGAACGUGCCCUUGACUUUGGUAUAGCACUUGGAAACAGGUGGUAAUCCCGAAUAUUCAGUUUCCCGGGCAUCCGGGUUGUUGGAAAGCUUUUUGCGGUCAGGGAUCGUCUCGCGGCCUAUCAGCUUGUUGGUGGGGUAGUGGCCCACCAAGGCCUUGACGGGUAGCCGGCCUGAGAGGGCGACCGGCCACAUUGGGACUGAGAUACGGCCCAGACUCCUACGGGAGGCAGCAGUGGGGGAAAUAUUUGCACAAAUGGGGCGGGAAAGCCCUGAUGCAAGCAAACGCCCGCCGUGCCGGGAAUGGACCGGGCCUUUCGGGUUGUA
rnacentral:rRNA from 1 species